rnacentral:rRNA from 1 species
AUUGAACGCUGGCGGCAGGCUUAACACAUGCAAGUCGAGCGAGCGGCGGACGGGUGAGUAAUGUCUGGGAAACUGCCCGAUAGAGGGGGAUAACUACUGGAAACGGUAGCUAAUACCGCAUACCAUCAGAUGUACCCAGAUGGGAUUAGCUAGUAGGUGGGGUAAUGGCUCACCUAGGCGACGAUCCCUAGCUGGUCUGAGAGGAUGACCAGCCACACUGGAACUGAGACACGGUCCAGACUCCUACGGGAGGCAGCAGGGGGGAAUAUUGCAAAAGGGGCGCAAGCCUGAUGCAGCCAUGCCGCGUGUGUGAAGAAGGCCUUCGGGUUGUAAAGCACUUUCAGCGAGGAGGCGUUACUCGCAGAAGAAGCACCGGCUAACUCCGUGCCAGCCGCCGCGGUAAUUC